rnacentral:SRP_RNA from 1 species
GCCUGGCGCAGUGGUGUGCACCUGUACUCCCAGCUACUUGGGAGGCUGAGGCAGGAGGAUCACUUGAGCCCAGGAAUUCAAGGCUGCAGUGAAUGAUGAUGGUGCCACUGCACUCCAGCCUGGGUAACAGAGCAGGAUCCUGUCUCUA